rnacentral:rRNA from 1 species
ACGUCUACAUUAGAUACCCCUGUAGUCCCAGCCGUAAACUAUGCGCGUUAGGUGUAUCGGUGACCACGAGUUACCGAGGUGCCGAAGGGAAACCGUGAAACGUGCCGCCUGGGAAGUACGGUCGCAAGGCUGAAACUUAAAGGAAUUGGCGGGGAGCACCACAACAGGUGGAGCCUGCGGUUUAAUUGGACUCAACGCCGGGAAGCCCACCGGAUAGGACAGCAGAAUGAUUGCCGGGCUGAAGACCCUGCAUGACUAGCUG